AAAUACUUUUGCGUCGUCUCGCUGUUAUCACCGUCAACUCGGCUAUAAAGAGAGCAAAUGCACUGCAAACUUUUAUUGAGUCACUCGAACUUAAAUUCUGUUAAUCAUGCGUUUCUUGUUAAUUCUCUGCGUUUUCCUUCACGUAUGCCAACAGGGACUGGCCGUGAAAUGCUUCCAAUGUGGAAUCAGUUCGGCGUGUGCCGAUCCGUUCAACGCAAACCAAACAGAAACGUGCGAACUCGAAGGAGGGGCUUGCAUGAAGACAAAUAAUAUCGGACUUAAUAUACUCCAAGGAUUUCAGACAACGAGGAAGUGCGUUCCCUCUGACGCAACAUGCGCCACGAUUAAUACGGAAGCAUGGCAGCUAAAUUUGCAAUGCGACAUUUGCCAGACAGAGCUGUGCAACGCUGGACCACGAUUCACUGCUGUCUCGGCCGUGGUUUUCCUUGCAGCUGUUGCUCUCAUGAUCAAACACUUUUACUAAAAAUGAUGUAAUGGAUUGUUUAAAAUAAAAUAAAAAAAUCGCAUUAAUGUCCUUAAUUUUAUUUUUAA